rnacentral:rRNA from 1 species
UUGAACGCUGGCGGCAGGCCUAACACAUGCAAGUCGAACGGUAACAGGAAGCAGCUUGCUGCUUUGCUGACGAGUGGCGGACGGGUGAGUAAUGUCUGGGAAACUGCCUGAUGGAGGGGGAUAACUACUGGAAACGGUAGCUAAUACCGCAUAACGUCGCAAGACCAAAGAGGGGGACCUUCGGGCCUCUUGCCAUCGGAUGUGCCCAGAUGGGAUUAGCUUGUUGGUGGGGUAACGGCUCACCAAGGCGACGAUCCCUAGCUGGUCUGAGAGGAUGACCAGCCACACUGGAACUGAGACACGGUCCAGACUCCUACGGGAGGCAGCAGUGGGGAAUAUUGCACAAUGGGCGCAAGCCUGAUGCAGCCAUGCCGCGUGUAUGAAGAAGGCCUUCGGGUUGUAAAGUACUUUCAGCGGGGAGGAAGGGAGUAAAGUUAAUACCUUUACUCAUUGACGUUACCCGCAGAAGAAGCACCGGCUAACUCCGUGCCAGCAGCCGCGGUAAUACGGAGGGUGCAAGCGUUAAUCGGAAUUACUGGGCGUAAAGCGCACGCAGGCGGUUUGUUAAGUCAGAUGUGAAAUCCCCGGGCUCAACCUGGGAACUGCAUCUGAUACUGGCAAGCUUGAGUCUCGUAGAGGGGGGUAGAAUUCCAGGUGUAGCGGUGAAAUGCGUAGAGAUCUGGAGGAAUACCGGUGGCGAAGGCGGCCCCCUGGACGAAGACUGACGCUCAGGUGCGAAAGCGUGGGGAGCAAACAGGAUUAGAUACCCUGGUAGUCCACGCCGUAAACGAUGUCGACUUGGAGGUUGUGCCCUUGAGGCGUGGCUUCCGGAGCUAACGCGUUAAGUCGACCGCCUGGGGAGUACGGCCGCAAGGUUAAAACUCAAAUGAAUUGACGGGGGCCCGCACAAGCGGUGGAGCAUGUGGUUUAAUUCGAUGCAACGCGAAGAACCUUACCUGGUCUUGACAUCCACAGAACUUUCCAGAGAUGGAUUGGUGCCUUCGGGAACUGUGAGACAGGUGCUGCAUGGCUGUCGUCAGCUCGUGUUGUGAAAUGUUGGGUUAAGUCCCGCAACGAGCGCAACCCUUAUCCUUUGUUGCCAGCGGUCCGGCCGGGAACUCAAAGGAGACUGCCAGUGAUAAACUGGAGGAAGGUGGGGAUGACGUCAAGUCAUUAUGGCCCUUACGACCAGGGCUACACACGUGCUACAAUGGCGCAUACAAAGAGAAGCGACCUCGCGAGAGCAAGCGGACCUCAUAAAGUGCGUCGUAGUCCGGAUUGGAGUCUGCAACUCGACUCCAUGAAGUCGGAAUCGCUAGUAAUCGUGGAUCAGAAUGCCACGGUGAAUACGUUCCCGGGCCUUGUACACACCGCCCGUCACACCAUGGGAGUGGGUUGCAAAAGAAGUAGGUAGCUUAACCUUCGGGAGGGCGCUUACCACUUUGUGAUUCAUGACUGGGGUG